AUUGUAAGGGUGUUGUGACAAUGCAGCAGUUGGUACAAAUGCUGACAUUGACUAAGAAAAAGAGCCAAGAUGAUCAUCAUUCUUGUCACUUUCACUGCAUCGCUCUGCCUUGCAGGGUCCGCUUCAGCUGCUCAAAAUGUUUACCAGACUCCUCCUGACUUGAUCAAGAAUAAGGAGAAAUUUGCAGAGCUUCACUGUUCUCACUCUAUACCGAGCUAUCAGGUCAUUCUGUGGUAUAAACAGUAUGAGAACAAGUUCCAUCUUCUUGGAUAUCUGAAUCUUGGCUCAAACUUUCCUGAAGAAGCCCUAAAAAACAAAAUCACAUUAGAUGGAAAUGGACGUAAUAACAGCACACUUACUAUCAACAAUCUGCAGCUAAAUGACAGUGCAGUUUACUUCUGUGCAGCAAGUCAGGCUAGCUAUUCAAACGCGGAAUUUGGAAAAGGGACCAAACUAACAGUUCUCGAACCCAACACAACCAUCAGCAGACCUACUGUGAACCUGCUGCCACCUUCUUCAGGAGAGCUCUACAAUGACAUGAAGAAAGUGACAUUGGUUUGCCUAGCUGACCGUUUCUAUCCUGACCAUAUUACAUUUGCCUGGCAGAAGAAUGGGAUUAACAUAAAGGAUGGAGUUGCAACAGACCACAGUGCCCUACAAGAUCCACAAACAAAGUUUUACACAAUCUCUAGUAGACUAAGUGUUGAUAAAACUGAUUGGGAAGACCCCAAAAACAACUUCACCUGCACUGUUAGUUUCUAUGAUGGAACUAAGUAUCAUUCUCAUCCAUAUACCCUAAAGAAACCAAAAGCUGGUGUACGAGCAAGUAUACUGACCACAGUCCGCUUUGGCUACUUCUUGUUACUGAGCAAGAGUCUGGUGUACGCUCUGUUUGUUGCCAUGUUGGUGUGGAAAUGCAAGCCUACUAAAGAGAUGUCGGUGCUGAGAGAGACCUGAGGCAUUUUGAAGAAAUGUGAGGAACAAUUGUAAAAUGGGACAUUUUUAUUUUUUCCUGACUAAUCUGCAUUCUGUUAUGCUUUACUGGAUAUUAGCUGAGCGAUUAAGUAUGUUUUCUGCCUGAAUUAUCUAGUUUGUUUUUAAAACUGAAAGUAAAAAUUCUUACUUUUUGAAAAAUCUAGUUUACUGUAUUUUCACAUUUAUUUCAAUAUACUGUUGAAUAUACUGUUGAAAUGUUGUAUAUCAUUGCUUAUUUUCAUGACCUAUAAAAUCAUCCAAAACCUUUUUUA